GGUGCUUCGGGCGCGGCGCCGGUCUAAGUUCCUUGGAACAGGACGUCAUAGAGGGUGAGAAUCCCGUCUGCGGCCGGCCGCCUACCCCGGGUGAAGCCCCUUCGACGAGUCGAGUUGUUUGGGAAUGCAGCUCUAAAUGGGUGGUAAAUUUCAUCUAAAGCUAAAUACCGGCCAGAGACCGAUAGCGCACAAGUAGAGUGAUCGAAAGAUGAAAAGCACUUUGGAAAGAGAGUUAAACAGCACGUGAAAUUGUUGAAAGGGAAGCGCUUGCCGCCAGACCUGCCCGCGGGCGUUCACCCGCCAUUCGUGGCGGGGCACUCGCCCGCGAUCAGGCCAGCACGGGUUCGGGCGGCGGGAGAAAGGGCCCGGGAAUGUAGCUCCCUCCGGGGUGCCUUAUAGCCCGGGUCGCCAUGCCGCCCGCCCGGACCGAGGACCGCGCUUCGGCUAGGGUGCUGGCGUAAUGGCGGCAAGCGACCCGUCUUGAAACACGGACCAAGGAGUCUAACAUCUACGCGAGUGUUUGGGUGUCAAACCCGGGCGCGGAAUGAACGUGAACGGAGGUGGGACCCCCGCGAGGGGCGCACCAUCGACCGAUCCAGAUGUCUUCGGAUGGAUUUGAGUACGAGCGUAGCCGUUGGGACCCGAAAGAUGGUGAACUAUGCCUGAAUAGGGUGAAGCCAGAGGAAACUCUGGUGGAGGCUCGCAGCGGUUCUGACGUGCAAAUCGAUCGUCAAAUUUGGGCAUAGGGGCGAAAGACUAAUCGAACCAU
rnacentral:rRNA from 1 species